rnacentral:rRNA from 1 species
CCCGGUAAUGAUAUAGGAGGUCUCACCUGCUCUAUGACGUUUUAGUUGAAUGGCCGCUUUUUUUGUGCUCAGGUAGCGCGGUAAGUAGCCUUUUAAUUAAAGGAUGGAAUGAAUGGUUGGACGUAAAGAGACUGUUUUUGAUGUAAUAAACUAGAAAUUUCUUUUUAAGUGAAAAAGCUUAAGUUUUUGUAAAAGACGAUAAGACCCUAUCGAACUUGAUUAGGUUAAUUAUGUUUAUGUUUACAAUAAAUUUUAUAUAAAUUUAAAUAUUAUUUAUCGGUUUAAGUAUGUUUUUGGUUAAAUUGUAACUAUUUUAUGGUAUUAGUGUUUUAGGUUGGGUUAUUGUCUGGUUAUUAAAUUUAUAGUUUGGUUUAGAAUAGUUAGGUCGAACAAAAGUUACAUUAUUUCUAAAGUUUUGUUGGGGAAACAGGUGCUUAUUAAACGGCACUUUUAUUUUUAAGGACCCUAUAUGAUGGACUAAAGCAAAAGUUACCGUAGGGAUAACAGCGUAAUUUUUUUUUGUAGGUUUAUUGAAAAAAAAGUUUGCGACCUCGAUGUUGAAUUAAGAAAACUUUAUGGCUUAGAUGCUAUAGUGAGUAAAACUGUUCGUUUUUUAAUUUCUUACAUGAUUGUUUCCCAAAAACGGGAAACCA